AGUGAACGCUGGCGGUAGGCCUAACACAUGCAAGUCGAACGGCAGCACCGUAAGAGCUUGCUCUUACGGGUGGCGAGUGGCGGACGGGUUAGGAAUACAUCGGACUCUACUUUUUCGUGGGGGAUAACGUAGUGAAACUUACGCUAAUACCGCAUACGACCUACGUGUGAAAGCAGGGGAUCUUCGGACCUUGCGCGAUUUCAUGAGCCGAUGUCGGAUUAGCUAGUUGGCGGGGUAAAGGCCCACCAAGGCGACGAUCCGUAGCUGGUCUGAGAGGAUGAAGAGCGACACUGGAACUGAGACACGGUCCAGACUCCUACGGGAGGCAGAAGUGGGGAAGAUUGGACAAUGGGCGCAAGCCUGAACCAGCCAUACCGCGUGGGUGAAGAAGGCCUUCGGGUUGUAAAGCCCUUUUGUUGGGAAAGAAAAGCAGCAGGUUAAUACAACGCUGUUCUGACGGUACCCAAAGAAUAAGCACCGGCUAACUUCGUG
rnacentral:rRNA from 1 species